UCCAGGGGAUCUUCCCAACCCAGGGAUCGAACCCAGGGAUUGAACCCGGGUCUCCCGCAUUGCAGGCAGAUGCUUUACCCUCGGAGCCACCAGGGAAGCCCCAAAUUAGGGAAGUAUUGCCCCCUAAUUUAGAACCACCGAGGAGCACCCAUGAGUAUGAUCCCAAGCAACCAGUGUUAGUGCUACCCACAAGUGUAGACUUGAAUUGCUCAGGGUCAUAAAUGCACUGUUCUAAGGUUUACUGUAAUAUCUGAUACAGUAGCCACAAUCCUAUCCACAUGUAUUUACAUUUAAAUAUAAAUUAAUUAAAACAAAAUCAAAUAGUUUCUCAGUUGAUCUAGUCACGGUCCAAGUGCUGAAGAGCUGCCUAUGGACUACAGUUACGGAAUAUUUCCAUCAUCUCAGAAAUUCCUAUUGGACUGAGUUAGUCAAAAGCACUCAGAGAACUGGUCCUCACCCUCAGUACUUAAAAUUUCUUCCAUGGUCAACCAAUUAUCAUUAUAAUAGAACGUGAAAAGGGUAAGCACUCUUUGAAAGUUGGUAAACACUUCAUGAAAUUUGAAGUUGGUGGACUGGUUAAAUCCAAAGACUGAACGAAACAAGCCAAAAUACAGUGUAAGUCGAACACAUAGUGAAGUUGAGAAGUUGUGGUAGAGAUGUAAUGUUUUAAAAAAAUCUGUUCACACAAUGAUUCCACUAAUUUAUUCAAUAUUUUAUAUUUGACAGAUAAAAUAAGAUAUUGUGUGACUCCUGUUCUUGAAGAAAUUGACUCAGCUCCUCACCAUGCAUCAUGGACAAAUUCUACAUUUCUUGGGCUUGAGAAGGAUAUUGGUUCCCACCUACUCACUAAGACAGAGGACCUCAAUUGUCCUUCAACAACAUCUGGAGCUGGGGCUGGAAGACAUCCCUCGGGCCCUCUAAGCUUACUGCCCAGGAAAGAAGAGCCACAGUUUCCUCUGUGGGUGACUGGAUGAGCCAACACUGCCCCUCACUCUGUCCCUAAUGGUCAGUCAGCCAAGGAAAGAGUGUCUAGUUUGGCCUACUCAUCUGCACCAAAAAAUAUCAAAGAAGUUUUAUUCAAGCAGAGCUAACACUAUCAAUCAUGUACAUUUGUUAGUUCAACAAUCUGAGAAGCCAGAAGGAAGGGCUUUCAGAGUCAAAACUUGACCCUCCGUCCUUUAUUGAAGGAUUACAGGUAAAAACCUGCUGUCAAUAAAUAGCUGCCUUGGUUUUUGCCAUUCCUACAGUACUUUGGGCUAAAGCAAAACUUUAUAAAUUUAAAGCUCAUGAUUGCCAUCUGCUGACACAUGUGUGAAUUACAAGUAGUCUGCAUAGUUGGUAUAUACUGUGUUCAGAUUUGGGUGUUUUGUGUCUUCCUUUCAAACCCAUUAGGUAGAUUUUAUAUCUGAUUUUAUACAUGUAUUUUCCCUAAAAGUAAUGUAUUUCACAAUUUACUGAACAACUAAA